GAUGAACGCUAGCUACAGGCUUAACACAUGCAAGUCGAGGGGAAGCGAUAUUGGAAGCUUGCUUCCGAUAGGCGUCGACCGGCGCACGGGUGAGUAACGCGUAUCCAACCUGCCCACCACUUGGGGAUAACCUUGCGAAAGUAAGACUAAUACCCAAUGACGUCCAUAGAAGACAUCUGAAAUGGAUUAAAGAUUUAUCGGUGAUGGAUGGGGAUGCGUCUGAUUAGCUUGUUGGCGGGGUAACGGCCCACCAAGGCGACGAUCAGUAGGGGUUCUGAGAGGAAGGUCCCCCACAUUGGAACUGAGACACGGUCCAAACUCCUACGGGAGGCAGCAGUGAGGGAUAUUGGUCAAUGGGCAAGAGCCUGAACCAGCCAAGCAGCGUGCAGGAUGACGGCCCUAUGGGUUGUAAACUGCUUUUAUAAGGGAAUAAAGUGAGCCUCGUGAGGCUUUUUGCAUGUACCUUAUGAAUAAGGACCGGCUAAUUCCGUGCCAGCAGCCGCAGUAA
rnacentral:rRNA from 1 species